UUAAAUGUUUCAAUGAAGGAAGUUGUUAGUGAUUCUCACAAUGUUAAACUUCUAUUAACUCAGUUAGUUUUUUUUAUGCUUUGGAUAGUUAGUGUAGUUCACAAUAGUUAGUAUUCUGUUAAAUUUGUUAUGACUAGAUGUUAAAUGAAUUCAUCGUGGGAGAAAUUUGAAACCGGAGUGGAAAUUCAAAGACGAAAAUUGAAAAUCGGAGAAGAAAGAUGAAAAUAUCGAGAGAGUUGAG
rnacentral:lncRNA from 1 species